ACACACACACACACAGUCAAGACAUAUGCGUUAACACACAAGUUGCUGCUAAUCUAAGUUGAAAGUGUUUCUUAGCGUUUGGAGUUUUCAUUGGAGAACACAAGCAAUAAACACUGGCUGAGAGAGAGGAACUUUCAACAAGAAGAUUAGACUAGAAGAUCAAGAGUCUAGUGAAUUGUAGUUUUGAUUUUAAACCACACAGCUGUGAAAUAUUAUAAAAAAUACUAGAUCUCAGUAAACUACGAAAAUGCCAAAUGAGGAGAACGAAGGCAAGACAACAUUAGUUCUGAUUCUGAGUGUGACAGUUGCUUGUAUAGGGAACUCAUUCCUUUAUGGCUACCAGAUUGGUGUUGUCAACCAGCCAGCUGAUCUCAUACAAGCUUUCUAUAAUAAAACUUACUAUGAGCGCAAGGGGGGCAAUUGGGAUAAUAU
rnacentral:sRNA from 1 species